UUUUGUUUGCGUGGCUUGGCC
rnacentral:misc_RNA from 1 species